rnacentral:rRNA from 1 species
GACGAACCGUGCGAACGUUGUUCGGAACUCACGUGGCUUAAAGGGCGCGUAGGCGGGCCACCAAGUCAGGGGUGAAAUCUUUCGGCUCAACCGGAAAAGUGCCUUUGAUACUGGUGGCCUCGAGGGAGGUAGGGGUCUGCGGAACUUCCGGUGGAGCGGUGAAAUGCGUAGAUAUCGGAAGGAACGCCGGCGGCGAAAGCGGACGCACUGGAUCCUCACUGACGCUGAGGCGCGAAAGCCAGGGGAGCGAACGGG